GCGUGCUGUGUGGAAAGGUACUCUUUCUGAUUGCUGUGGCGCUGUCUCAAGCAGUGCCAGAACACCACAGGCUGGACACUGCGCUUGUUUCUGUGCUGUGAUGAGUGCUGCGUGCUGUCCACUGUAUGCUGCUGUCCCAGUUUGGCGCCACAGCCUCGGCAGAGCCAUCUAGCGGCCGGAGACGAAACCUCGGAAUGUUCGCAAUCAGAACGUGGGCGAAACACCUUUCUAAUUAGUGUGAGGCACAAUAUAUCCCCAAAAAGUAGAACUGUGGAAAAUUAGUACACUGACUAUGCAUUUAAUAGUGUUAAAAUAGAAGUUUUAUCAAAUACAUGUGCUAUUACGUGCCUAAAGAACAAAAUGGGCGUGCGAGAAGAUCCCAAAAGAUGUUUGUGUAGUGGUUGUUGAAGAGUGUCGAGCGAGACCCGCUGGCGAGUGCACUGCCGCUCUUUUACUGUGUUUUGUGCCUAAAAUUGUUGUCACUCUCAAGUGUUAUUCUGCCACAACGUGUAACUCGCUGGCAGCUGUGUUAGUACGUAGUUGUUGCUCAGAGGAAGCGUCGCUGCAGUCCAGGAGAAGCAAGUACGGGCAAUUUUUGCAACAUUACGGGGGCCAGGCCAACCUCUUGCUCGAUGUGUGCCGGUCGCAUUGAGUGUUUCUUACGAAUCUGCACAGAGCAUCUUUCGUUUUCCAAACAAGACUAUUUGUGAUUGUGCAGCUCAUCUGUACCCUCCCCAC